GCAAACUUGGUCAUUUAGAGGAAGUAAAAGUCGUAACAAGGUUUCCGUAGGUGAACCUGCGGAAGGAUCAUUAUAGAGACUUUUUAAAAACGAAAGUUUUUAAAAAAAACCUCCAACCCUUUGUGUAUAUGACCUUUUUUUAGUUGCUUUGGUAGGGCAGUUACUUUUUUUUUUGGUAACUACCGGACCUUCCAGGUUUGGUCAGUACCUACCAACAGCCUAAUCUUUAAAAUUCUUGAUUAAAAUUAUGUUGUCUAAAUUUUCAAUUUAAUAAUUAAAGCAAAACUUUCAACAACGGAUCUCUUGGUUCUGGCAUCGAUGAAGAACGCAGC
rnacentral:misc_RNA from 1 species